GACGAACGCUGGCGGCGUGCUUAACACAUGCAAGUCGAACGGAAAGGCCCUGCUUUUGUGGGGUGCUCGAGUGGCGAACGGGUGAGUAACACGUGAGUAACCUGCCCUUGCCUUUGGGAUAACUUAAGGCAGCUGAGGCUAAUCCCGGAUAGGAGCUCCUGCUGCUUGGUGGGGGUGGGAUAGUUUCGGCGGUUGGGGAUGGACUCGCGGCUUAUCAGCUUGUUGGUGGGGUAGUGGCUGACCAUGGCUUUGACGGGUAGCCGGCCUGCGAGGGUGACCGGCCACAUUGGGACUGAGAUACGGCCCAGACUCCUACGGGAGGCAGCAGUGGGGAAGAGUGCACAAUGGGCGGAAGCCUGAUGCAGCAACGCCGCGUGCGGGAUGACGGCCUUCGGGUUGUAUACCGCUUUCGCCUGUGACGAAGCGUGAGUGACGGUAAUGGGUAAAGAAGCACCGGCUAACUACGUG
rnacentral:rRNA from 1 species